AAAUGGCAAUUCGGGCACCAGAACCUCAUGACGGCCUUGGAUUUACUUUAUCUGAUUUUGAAACUUUAACCUUCAAAUAUAGUAUAGCACACACUUGCAAAUGAGCAAAUCCAGGUAAUGUGCCACAAGAUUUAAUAUUUAUGGGGCUUGAAAUUUAUUUCUUCUCUUCAUAUCCAAGAGGGUUUUUUUUUGUGUUAAAGUGUAAUUUUCGCCGUGGUUUUGAGGUGUGACUUUACGUUUUUUAUUAUAAAAUUCUGGCCAUAGAAAAACAUUUCCCAUAAAAAUACAUAUACGUAAGAUGUAUUAUACCGGUUUUACAGUUUUUAUAGUUUCGAAGUUAAAUAGUUCAUGAAAGCUUUAACAGUUAGUUUAAAUGCAAGCAAUUGCAACCCCAACAAAGAGACUUAACUAGUCGACGUGGAAAUAUUGUAAUUGAG
rnacentral:lncRNA from 1 species